GAUGAACGCUGGCGGCGUGCCUAGUACAUGCAAGUCGAGCGAAUGGAUUAAGAGCUUGCUCUUAUGAAGUUAGCGGCGGACGGGUGAGUAACACGUGGGUAACCUGCCCAUAAGACUGGGAUAACUCCGGGAAACCGGGGCUAAUACCGGAUAACAUUUUGAACCGCAUGGUUCGAAAUUGAAAGGCGGCUUCGGCUGUCACUUAUGGAUGGACCCGCGUCGCAUUAGCUAGUUGGUGAGGUAACGGCUCACCAAGGCAACGAUGCGUAGCCGACCUGAGAGGGUGAUCGGCCACACUGGGACUGAGACACGGCCCAGACUCCUACGGGAGGCAGCAGUAGGGAAUCUUCCGCAAUGGACGAAAGUCUGACGGAGCAACGCCGCGUGAGUGAUGAAGGCUUUCGGGUCGUAAAACUCUGUCGUUAGGGAAGAACAAGUGCUAGUUGAAUAAGCUGGCACCUUGACGGUACCUAACCAGAAAGCCACGGCUAACUACGUGCCAGCAGCCGCAGUAA
rnacentral:rRNA from 1 species